AGGAUGACAUACUACCUGUGGAGAUACCAGUGAUGGACUCGAUCGUAAGAGAGAGGAACCUCAAGAAUGGUGCACACUUACGGAUUGCAACGAAGAGAGGAAUCGCAAUUGAGACUGAUGCACAAUGAAAUCUAAGGAGUCGAUGAAUGGAAAUGGAAUGGUGAAAUUGUUGGUGAAAUGAUGCAGAGGGAGAGAGUAAAGGGAGAGGGAAAAUGGGGGAAACGAUGAACCAAAUCUUGUUUGGUUUGGGGAAGAGAAACAAGGGUUAAUUGGUGCAAGGAAGCAAAAUUACGAUGGGGCUUUUCUCUUUGUUUUUUCAAAUAACAAUAGGUUUUUACGAUUUUUGUUUUUUUUUGUAAAUUUUUAGUUUUAAUUCAGAAAACCUUUUAAGGGUUUCUGACGAAUACUAAUUUUAUCAGAAAAUUUGUCAUAAAUUUACCACAAAAUCUAUUAUUAAUAUAUUAAUUUUCAAUUUAUCACUAUUUUAUCACAAAACCACUUGGUAAUUGAAAAAAUUUUUACGAAUUAAAAUUCGUCACAAA
rnacentral:lncRNA from 1 species